rnacentral:rRNA from 1 species
CCUACGUGAGGCAGCAGUGAGGAAUAUUGGUCAAUGGGCGCGAGCCUGAACCAGCCAAGUAGCGUGAAGGAUGACUGCCCUACGGGUUGUAAACUUCUUUUAUAAAGGAAUAAAGUGAGGCACGUGUGCCUUUUUGUAUGUACUUUAUGAAUAAGGAUCGGCUAACUCCGUGCCAGCAGCCGCGGUAAUACGGAGGAUCCGAGCGUUAUCCGGAUUUAUUGGGUUUAAAGGGAGCGUAGAUGGGUUGUUAAGUCAGUUGUGAAAGUUUGCGGCUCAACCGUAAAAUUGCAAUUGAUACUGGCAGUCUUGAGUACAGUUGAGGUAGGAGGAAUUCGUGGUGUAGCGGUGAAAUGCUUAGAUAUCACGAAGAACUCCUAUUGCGAAGGCAGCUUACUAAACUGCCACUGACAUUGAUGCUCGAAAGUGUGGGUAUCAAACAGGAUUAGAUACCCGAGUAGUC